GUCGAAGAAAAUGAGUUCAUUGGAUAAAAGAUUUAUUUUUUCAACGAAUCGAUACAAAAAAAGGAAAGAUUAAUUAGAAUUUACUUUUACAAGAUUCUUUGAUUUAAUUUCAAUAUCAAGUGCAUUCAAAUAGAGUGGAGAUCUAUUGGAACAUCUGAAGUUGUUUCCAAGAUCGUUGUUCCAUGCUUUGGAAUCGCGGAAUAAUCCGCUACUGUUCGAGUCCCGUUGUUACCAGACUAUCGGAACCUCACUCUCCAUUGUCUUGGAUAAGGCUUCUAAAAAAAUUCGCAUUGACGUCUUCAUCGAAACUACCUUGAACUUCACUAACUUAAAUCUUUCAACGUUACGUACCGUCACAUUAAUAGAACGUACAACCAAUUAUUUCAAACACGGACAUAUUAUACAAUUGGCAAGAGAAAAGGUACAUUACUCCAAAUUGCAUCUUAAAACUGCACAUACAUAUAUACACAAAGUCAACUACCAGCAGAAGAACAAACGAGCAGUUAGACAUUUUGUCGUGUGGCAGAGGCAGCGAUUAGAAAAUGUCGUCUCGCGUCGGGAAGACGAGCGAGCGUGGCAAACAGUGGCCAUCCGUUCCGCGGGAGUCAGAAAGGUACAUAGUUGCGGACGCUGCAAUCGGCUGUGCUGGUGGCGUUUCUAACAAAUUAACGG